GAUGAACGCUGGCGGCAUGCCUAACACAUGCAAGUCGAACGGCAGCACAGCAGUAGCAAUACUGUGGGUGGCGAGUGGCGGACGGGUGAGGAAUACGUCGGAAUCUGCCCAGUCGUGGGGGAUAACUAGCCGAAAGGUUAGCUAAUACCGCAUACGACCGAGAGGUGAAAGCGGGGGACCGCAAGGCCUCGCGCGAUUGGAUGAGCCGACGUCGGAUUAGCUAGUUGGCGGGGUAAAGGCCCACCAAGGCGACGAUCCGUAGCUGGUCUGAGAGGAUGAUCAGCCACACUGGAACUGAGACACGGUCCAGACUCCUACGGGAGGCAGCAGUGGGGAAUAUUGGACAAUGGGCGCAAGCCUGAUCCAGCAAUGCCGCGUGUGUGAAGAAGGCCUCGGUGUAAGCACUUUAUCAGGACGAAAGACGUUGGAUUAAUACUCUGACGUGCUGACGGUACCUGAGGAAUAAGC
rnacentral:rRNA from 1 species